ACUAAAGAAUUUUACUCCUUUUCAUAAAUGAAAGAAGACAUUGUGAUAACUCAGCUUUCACAAGAGUCUCUAUCACGUACAUACACUACAGCAUCCACAAUAGUCUUUAUAAUUCACAUAAUUUCUUUUUCCCUCUGUACAUUUGUUUAUAAACAAGGAAAUGUUUGCAGGGAGAAAUUAUAUAUAUUUUAAACUGGCUAAUAUACUUGGCACAAUAAUGAACUCUUGAGUGCACACUCACAAACAUCGUGGCAAGCAGGCAGAAACAUACUGCUGCAGAUUGUCUUUGGCCUCCAGUUAAUCAGUCCUAGGAGUAAACACCACUAAAACUUAAAUGCAACUGUCCAUUAUAUCUAUCUUACAACCUCUUAAGCAGACAAGAAAUGUAAGCUUUCAGAGAUCAUGAGUGCUCAUGCAAGCUGUAUACUACAUAUUCCUGUACUGCAGAGUACUCUUUUCUUAAAGAGGAGGGAGUUUAACACUAAAUACCAUCACUCACUUCUAAAAAUAUUCCCUAAAAGGCAGAUUCUGACUUGUGGACACCAAGUAUUCCCACUGAAACCAAUUCUACAACAACAAAAAGCCAGGUAUAAUGCAACAUGAGGCAGAACAACAUGCCUAAAUUCAUUACCCAUAAACAACACCUCCAUAUUCAUAAGGAAAGAAAAUCCAACUCUAAAACAAACUAUAAAAUGUUAUAAUACUGAAUCAACUUACAGGAGAAAUCCAAAUAAUGUCUAUGGAGAUAAAAUGUUUUAUUUCCAACUUACUCCUUUCAGAUGCACUGAAUUUAUAAUACCUUCCCACCUUGAGGGCAGAAGUGCAUGGAGAUUUAUUAGUAUCUGUUAAAGCCCACAUUUUCUCUCUCUUUUUUUUUUUUUUAUUUCCUCCAGACCUAUAGGAAAUUCAGAGGCCUGUUUACUUAAGGAACAUGUACAUUUUCUAGCAGCAUAUUCAGUUGAUUCCCCUCCCUUAGAAUGAUAAAUGCGCUGAAUGAUGGAGUUAUCUCUCACUGGUAUCAGACCACACUUAUAAGCAACAGAUGCAUUGUUCUGAGCUCCAAAAGUGGGACACUAAUAGCUUUCAGAUGAGCUUUUGUGCUGGAGAGGAGAUGGAUAAGAGUGAGAGCUGAACAUUAAUAAGAAACUAGCGUAGUGGUUUAAGAACUUGGAUCUGCUUAAAAGCCAGGAAAAAAGGUUUUCUUCACCCCAGCUGGUUCAAAAAGUCAUUCCUUACAGAUUUUUUACUUUCAGAUCAGGGAAAAAAGAAAAAAAGAAAAAAAAAAAAAAAGGAUGGUUUGUUAGGAAAUGGAGAACAUACAAGUAUUUGAGAAUGUUCUUACCUCAGGGCAGUUGAAAUUAAGAAUGUACAAUAAAUCUACGGUGGUCUGUAGAAGUUCACUCACAUCAGUGGGAAUCUUGCCAUUACCAUCAUCCAGAAUAAAAGGAUUCUCAGACAUAUCUCAGACAUCUCUAUGAGUCAUUCUGGAUAGAGCUAUCAGCUCCAGGAAAGGCUUGUAGUUACAAAGGAGGAAAAUGAAGAGAGAAGAGAUGGAUCACAAGAUAUGACAUCUUAUGCACGUGUGGAAAUCUUUAGCCAUCCUUUUUCUAGAGUGGAAAUAAUCACUGGAGACUAACAACACUCGCAUCAGCCUAACAUCCCCUUCACCCACAGAUUCUGCACUACUUCAUCCUGCUU
rnacentral:lncRNA from 1 species